rnacentral:lncRNA from 1 species
UUUAGGUUGGUUCUGCAGGUUACAUCUCUUUAAUUUCAAUUUUGAGGAGUAGUAUUGUAAGGAUCUGAAUUGCCUGUAUGUGUGAGCCUUUGGUUUUGGUAAGAAGCAUUUCAGUGAGCGCAGUGGGGUGGAGUGAGUGAGUGAGUGAGUGAGUGAGUGAGUGAGUGAGUGAGUGAGUGAGUGAGUGAAAAUGUACAGGGGUGAGUGUGUGCAGCUGUGUGAGUGCCUGCCCUCCUGUCGCGCACGUGUGAGUGUGUCUGCCCUCUCCUGGCAAAUCCGUGACCGACUGGCAGCUCCCGCGCACUGCACUCCCCGGACCAGCAGUGAGCGAUGCCCUACAGAAGCAGCCUUUUCACGCGGUCAGUGUGUGCCCCAGGCCCCUGCUGCUGACAGCAUCAUUAGCAGGAAGGACAGGCCAGAUUCUGACCUCACUUACACGUAACUCCCUACACCUGAAGUAACGCUUUUUCCCUUGGCAUUUCUGGAAUCAGCAUGGCAGUGACAGAUGCUGUUGGUCACUUAUUAAGACUGAAUGUUGCCAUUCCCAAGUAUAAAUGAAUGUUCAUUGUAUGAUACAACUUUCUUAUAAAGCCAUACUUUUGUAAUUUUGGUUUCUCUUUUUUAGGGGGGGGGAAUCUUCCCCAUUAUUGUGUUCGCACAUUACUCGCUGCAUGAUUAAAGAUAAAACAAUUGUAACAUGCUGGAAUAAAUUAUAUAUACAUAGCCUGAUAUAAUUAGGU